AAUUAGGGAGCACCUGCAGAAGGAUGAGCACAUAAACUCACACAACAGAAUCUUGAGACAAGCUAUCAGUCACCAUUAGUUUUCCAUGUCAACUUGUUCUCAUGCACAGAAAGCAUGGCAACAAGUGUGGACCACUGGGAUUCGGAUGAUAAUCUCCAUGGCAACUGUCAUCGUGCACUCCUGUCACAAGUGUGAGUCUACCCAGCAUGCCUCUGGGGCUGGAAUUCCACCUGUCCACUGUGCUUCCUCCCAAAACGCACAAAUUGCAUAUUUGACAAGCCACGGACC